rnacentral:rRNA from 1 species
AACGUAGGUACCGAGCGUUAUCCGGAUUUAUUGGGCGUAAAGAGCUCGUAGGCGGCUUGUCACGUCGGGUGUGAAAGCCCGGGGCUUAACCCCGGGUCUGCAUUCGAUACGGGCAGGCUAGAGUGUGGUAGGGGAGAUCGGAAUUCCUGGUGUAGCGGUGAAAUGCGCAGAUAUCAGGAGGAACACCGGUGGCGAAGGCGGAUCUCUGGGCCAUUACUGACGCUGAGGAGCGAAAGCGUGGGGAGCGAACAGG